GACGAACGCUGGCGGCGUGCUUAACACAUGCAAGUCGAACGGAAAGGCCCUGCUUUUGUGGGGUGCUCGAGUGGCGAACGGGUGAGUAACACGUGAGUAACCUGCCCUUGACUUUGGGAUAACUUCAGGAAACUGGGGCUAAUACCGGAUAGGAGCUCCUGCUGCAUGGUGGGGGUUGGAAAGUUUCGGCGGUUGGGGAUGGACUCGCGGCUUAUCAGCUUGUUGGUGGGGUAGUGGCUUACCAAGGCUUUGACGGGUAGCCGGCCUGAGAGGGUGAACGGCGACAAGGGGACUGAGAGACGGCGCAGACUCCUACGGGAGGCAGCAGUGGGGAAUAUGGCACAAUGGGCGGAAGCCUGAUGCAGCAACGCCGCGUGCGGGAUGACGGCCUUCGGGUUGUAAACCGCUUUCGCCUGUGACGAAGCGUGAGUGACGGUAAUGGGUAAAGAAGCACCGGCUAACUACGUG
rnacentral:rRNA from 1 species